rnacentral:lncRNA from 1 species
UAAAAUUACUAACCAAACAAUUAAAAUUAUUUCACGAAGAUAAUUAUUCCUAUUUAGUAACUGCAAAUCAUCGAUAAUGUGAAUUUUAUUUUUAAAAAAUCAGAUCAUAAGAAAAUCUCAAUCCAUGCUAAAUGAAUUACCUCUUUUGGGUGUCGUAGCAAAACCGAUUCCCUAUAAUAAAAUCCUCCUUCUCGUUGAACUGGUUCAAAGAAGUUAUGACAUGAGGCAGGAGAAGAAGAAGAUGGAGGUUGAUUCAAAUUCAAGAGUUGAUCUUCUUUAAGCUCUAGAGGAAAAGGAGUGACAGGUGAUAAGUGAUAAUUUGGAGUCAUGGGAUCAAGAGAGACAGAAGCUAAAAAGGGAAAAAAGUAGUGUUAUUUGUUGUCCAAUAAAGAUGGAAAAAGAGUUGAGGGAGAAAUCAAAGGCAACAAAAAGGUAUGCGACUAAUAGGCUUAUUGAGAAGUAAAACUAAAAACCCUUUUAAAGGAGAGCUGCUUUGCUGCUAAUGAUGCUAACUAGCCUGCGCAGACCUAUAGGUAUAAGAGUUUCACGUGACUUCAUGAAACCAGACAUUUAAAAAAGACAAACCCACAAAAGAGAAUUGUGGAGUGCAACCACGCGACCACUCUCAGA